rnacentral:tRNA from 1 species
GGCUUUGUGGUGUAGUAGUCAGCACACUCGAUGCGUAACUGAGAGGUUCGAGGUUUGAUUCCUGGCAAAGGCG